AAAACGAAAGCGCCAGAACUUAAAUUGGGGUCGGAAAUACAAUUUAAGUUGACGAGGACAGGGUUUAUCGAGGAUUCGGCGGAUGCCCUGCGGUGUAUCACCACCGAGAAAAAUCUUACAAAACCUUUAAGCAAUUAAAGGAACAAAAAGAU
rnacentral:ncRNA from 1 species